rnacentral:rRNA from 1 species
CGGACGGGUGAGUAACGCGUGGGUAACCUGCCUUAUACCGGGGGAUAACAGCCAGAAAUGACUGCUAAUACCGCAUAAGCGCACAGAACCGCAUGGUCCGUGUGAAAAACUCCGGUGGUAUAAGAUGGACCCGCGUUGGAUUAGCUAGUUGGCAGGGCAGCGGCCUACCAAGGCGACGAUCCAUAGCCGGCCUGAGAGGGUGAACGGCCACAUUGGGACUGAGACACGGCCCAGACUCCUACGGGAGGCAGCAUG